GACGAACGCUGGCGGCGUGCUUAACACAUGCAAGUCGAACGAUGAAGCCGGAGCUUGCUCCGGUGGAUUAGUGGCGAACGGGUGAGUAACACGUGAGCAAUCUGCCCUUGACUCUGGAAUAACUGCGGGAAACUGUAGCUAAUACCGGAUACGACACCUUGGGGCAUCCCAGGGUGUGGAAAGAAUUUCGGUCAAGGAUGAGCUCGCGGCCUAUCAGCUAGUUGGUGAGGUAAUGGCUCACCAAGGCGACGACGGGUAGCCGGCCUGAGAGGGUGACCGGCCACACUGGAACUGAGACACGGUCCAGACUCCUACGGGAGGCAGCAGUGGGGAAUAUUGCACAAUGGGCGAAAGCCUGAUGCAGCAACGCCGCGUGAGGGAUGAAGGCCCUCGGGUUGUAAACCUCUUUUAGCAGGGAAGAAGCGAAAGUGACGGUAUCCGCAGAAAAAGCACCGGCUAACUACGUGCCAGCAGCCGCCGUAA
rnacentral:rRNA from 1 species